GGCCCUCAUCAUCGUCACCGCAUCUCCAGCAAGCCGGCCUUCUCCUCCACCACCGGGCAUCACUGAGCCGCGCCAUCCUUCUUCCGCCCCAAGGCAAUGGAUGCAGCUGAAGGACUUGGGGGAACUAGCGGGCCUGCCAUAUGGACUUCAACAAUGUCCGCUUUCAUACUCACUCACCUCUGUAAUUUGGUGGCUACUGGCUCGAAGACAUCGAAGGGCUUUAAGAAGGUCCAUCUCAAUGCUUGUGCUAGGGCUAUCAAUGAGAAGUUCAACACUAUGCGCACGGGUGAGCAAGUCAAGAACCAUUUGAAAACAUGGCAGAAAAGGUUUGCAAAGAUAGCUAGACUUAAGAAGUUGAGUGCUGCACUAUUUGAUGAAGAUAAUUGCAUGAUUACUCUUGACGCUGAGCACUACAAUAACCAUAUUCAGGAUCAUAAGGCUGAUGCUGAGUUCUUUAACAAGCCCCUCCUGCACUAUAGAGAGAUGGAAACAAUAUUUGGAAAUAGCAUGGCCACAUGAAACUUUGCAAAGGACUCAAGUGCGCCUCUAGGAAGAGACGAUAAUG